rnacentral:rRNA from 1 species
GAAUUUUGGACAAUGGGGGAAACCCUGAUCCAGCCAUCCCGCGUGUGCAAUGAAGGCCUUCGGGUUGUAAAGCACUUUUGGCCGGGAAGAAAAGGUUCUGGCCAUUACCCGGACCUGUUGACGGUACCUGCCGCAUAAGCCCCGGCUAACUCCUUGCCAGCAGCCGCGGUAAUACGUAGGGUGCAAGCGUUAAUCGGAAUUACUGGGCGUAAAGCGUGCGCAGGCGGUUUGGCAAGAAGGAUGUGAAAUCCCAGGGCUUAACCUUGGAACUGCAUUCUUAACUGCCAGGCUAGAGUAUGUCAGAGGGGGGUAGAAUUCCGCGUGUAGCAGUGAAAUGCGUAGAGAUGCGGAGGAAUACCGAUGGCGAAGGCAGCCCCCUGGGAUAAUACUGACGCUCAUGCACGAAAGCGUGGGGAGCAAACAG